UCCCCGCGCCGCCUCUUCCUCUUCGAUUCCCCAAUCUCCUCCCCGUCUCCUCCGCCCCCCAAAAAUCCUCCUAAAUUGCCAGUCUCACCAGCCGGCGGAACCCUAGCUCUGGAGCUACUGCCAGGCCAGGACGGCGGAACCGGCCGCUCCUUCCCUGGCGCCGCACUUCGGAGGCCUGCGCUGCUCGGCGCGUCCCUCGCCCGCGUCUUUCCUCCGGCCACACCUUCAGGAUUCGCGCCGCUCCGGUCCAAGGGCUUUAGAGGCUUGCUACCGUUGCCGUCCUCUUUACCUCUGCGCGCGCACAUGUAUGAUUUUGACCUUCGUAGCGCUCCGGUCUCUCUGAUCUUGGCCCUUCUGUCGUUGAUGCCCCGAUGCUAUUGCGAACACCUUCAGGAUUCACGAACACAAGAGUCUGAUAUGCUUGGUCAAGUUCAGUGCAGCGGCUGCAGCCGGCCCCUAUUGAUUCCAUUUUCUAUGAUGCACGGUGGUCGGCCGGUAGGCACCUCUACCUUCUGUCGCAGCGUAUCCAGGAAAAGUGUUAAGUCCCUCUUUUGUCCACAUGAACUGCCCUCCUUUGCCACAUAGAAGGCAUCGAGGGCUCUAUGAAAGCAUCCAAUCUCGCCGCUCUGCCAACUUUGCCUGAACCUCGACUGCCAAUGCUCCAUAUACCGUCAUACAAUCUUGCCAUUCUACCUACUUCGCCGGAACACCGACCGCUGGUGCGCUAUCUGAGGUAGGCUGUUUUCAACUGGACUAAAAAUCAGUGUUAUUUUCAUGCAUGGAAGAAGCGCUCGACUUUAUUACUAACUACUGUAACAGAAAUUCAAAUCAUAGAUGAUAGGUGUUGAACUGCUAGAAUAUUUAUGCCCCUUUGCAACACAUGGGCAUAUGUGCGAGCUUAUUCCAAAAGAGAAAUGCAUUGGUACUAUGUUGAUACCGAGGGCGCAAGGCUCAAGGGAAGCAGGUUCUCUAGCUGUCUGUAUGCUUAUGGUAUCUUGCAUGGGGGUUACAAAUUCAAUUCAACAUGUCAGUUGAGGAAGCUGCUGAGUUAGCAUGGCGGGCUAUUUAUCAUGCAACAUUCCUUGACGGAGCUAGUGGCGGUGUUGUUAACCACUCGUUUACUUCAGCAUGAACAUCAUCUUGGUCGGCCUAUUAACCAAAAUCUAGGGAAAAGAUGAGUGCCUGAUGUGGAAAAGGCAUGUAAUGAAUGACUAUAUGGGCCCAGUGUAUGGUUUCUCUUUUGGGACGGCUAAAUUAGCAAUAUAUUGGUGCAUCUGACCUCUAGCCGCUUUCAAACAUUCUGGAUGACAUGAAUGUAUUUGAUCCACGCCAUAAGCGUAUUUCCAUCCAAGGAAGUGGAAUUUAUUUGAACUGAGAAAGAGGGCACAGCAUUGAUCCAAUUCACAUCGAUGAUCCUCUUUGCCCUGCUAACAACGUGCGCAAGAAUUAUUUCCGGGUCCACCACUGCAUCAAGGUUGGCUCAAAUUAUCUUUUCUGGACUGGUUGAAUCCUUCUGUUGUUGUCUAGAGCUUUUGGAGUUGUGGCAAUGCUGUGAUUAUGCUCUUUUAUCUGGUAAUUUGUUUGACCGGACAAUCUUGGUAUUGAAAUUUAGUCUUUGUGCGGUACUAGUACUAAUGCAUUCCUUGUCUGGCCUUUAAAGAUAUAAAUAUUUGUCCGGCAAUCACGGAUCAACAAGUGCUAUUGGUAUUUUCUGAUGCUUUUCAUGGCAGGCUUUUGCUGAUGCUUUUGCAGUUCUAGAGAACGAGCUACUGCAGUUCAUUGCAGAAUGUAACACGCCCGCAUCAUCAUUCAGCCUACUGAAGAAAAUAAUUCCAAGCAUUGAUUCCAAUGAUAUGUAGCAGUAAAAAGAACCUAUGAUUCCACGAGCUGCAGGAACUGUUGGGUUGGAAUGGCCUCCUGUGUUCUAGACACCGAGUUACUACUGCAGCUGGUGGAAAAGGAGGCUUGUUCUAAUGUAUGAUGCCAGCCACCCUCCUCUCGCCUCUGGCUGCUGAGCACCCGAGACUGUUAAUUGAUGUAUUAGGCGGAGGAAUUGGAUGAUUCGAGAGCAAGAUGGGGGGUGCACUCUGCACACAUAAGGAUGUGACAUGGACAUGGACACGGUCACGGAGGAGCAGUACAAGCAGACCCGCACAGAACUCUUGACCCGGAGAAGCACGCAGGAUAAGCUCUAGCAGAGGCUCUGCAUGUUUUCUGAAUCAUCUGUUCCCUGAACCUUACGAAACCGCUGAAGAAAACAGGAGCAAUAUCCGUCGGUAUGGAGGGCAAGUCCUUGGUGCUUUUGGCAGUCUGCAUGAGCUUGUGGAACAAGAAAUGGAGAAUUGCUAUGGAGGAGGCUACCUGACUUGAUGCUGGAACUGGUGACCGGUAUUGGCGGAGCAAUUUUCCAAACAGAUGUUUCUCCCGAUGAACAAGAUUCUUCCUUGAACACACCAAAAGGGUAGCUGUGAAGAUUACUGCCGGGAUCCGAGUGUCGGAUUCUUCGUUGCAGUUACCCGCACCGUGUUUGCUGAGUUGGCCUCUUUGAGAAACAAGUCAGGGCAAGCUUAUUGAUAUGAUGUGCAAAACUACAAGCACGACGGACAAGGUUGGUAUGUCUUACAAAAACAGGCUUCAGUUCCUUCGACUGAUGAGACUCAAGUUACCACUGCUUUUGUAGUGACUUCCGUUCCUGCGGUUGAUUGGGUUUAAGUUACCGCCGCUUUUGCAGUGUACUUCCAACACUAAUUCAUCACUAGCACGUUGUUAAUUCACUGUGGUGAUGUUCUUCUAGUAACCAUUAAUACUAUUACCAAAGGGAAAAAGUCUAUUUCAAACCUUAAA